GACGAACGCUGGCGGCGUGCUUAACACAUGCAAGUCGAACGAAGAGCGAUGGAAGCUUGCUUCUCUCAAUCUUAGUGGCGAACGGGUGAGUAACGCGUAAUCAACCUGCCCUUCAGAGGGGGACAACAGUUGGAAACGACUGCUAAUGCCGCAUACGAUCUGACCUCGGCAUCGAGGAUAGAUGAAAGGUGGCCUCUAUUUAUAAGCUAUCACUGAAGGAGGGGAUUGCGACUGAUUAGCUAGUUGGAGGGGCAACGGCCCACCGAGGCGAGGAUCAGUAGCAGGUCUGCGAGGAUGAACGGCAACGUUGGGACUGGGACACGGCCCGGACUCCUGCGGGAGGCAGCCGUGGGGAAUUUUCAGGGAUGGACGAAAGGCUGACGGAGGAACGCCGCGUGAGUGAUGACGGCAUUCGGGUUGUAAGGCUCAGUUAAUCGGGACGAAAGGACUUCUUGCGAAUAGGUAGAAGGAUUGACGGUACCGGAAGAAAAAGCCACGGCUAACUACGUG
rnacentral:rRNA from 1 species